rnacentral:lncRNA from 1 species
AUGUCAAGCUCGUCAAAUCAGUUGCUGAGUUGAAGUUGGAAAAUAGUAGGAUUGCAAACGAGAUUCAAUCCCUUGAAGCAGAUUUUGAAAAAGUAAGUGCAAAUUUUCAUCCUUUUAUGUUUUUAUAGCGAAUUUGUUGAGAGUACUUAUUCCGUGUUGAAAAUUGAACUUAGAAUAACAAUUUAAUGUUGUUUUUUGUUUUGCAUAAACUCCCAUCAAUUUGCGCCCCCCCCCCCCCCCCCCCCCAAAAAAAAAAAAAAAAAAAAAAACUCCCAACAAAUGUGUGGUAUUCAAGCUACCUCUCAUUUCCAAACUUCCAUCAUCUAUUAUUAUCGAAACCUUAUCCUAUAUCCUCAUCCUAAGCUUUUAGUUGAGUUGGUGUGAAUGAUCAUGAUGAAUUUUCGUUUCACUUUUACGUACAGCACGCCAUUAAAGUGAUUGAUUGAUUUUAUUUUUUUGUCAUAUCGGGUAUACCAAAAAAAAAAAAAAAAAACUUUAAUCAUGUUGAGGUGAGGUCCUUCCAGUUUUUGCAGAGGCCAGAGCCAUGUGGCACAAGCACAAGAGAGGUGAUAGAUUUGGGGAAUAUACGAACAAAAAAGUCCUGUUCUAUCAGUCCUCAUUCACAAUAUUGAGGACACGUUUUCGAUUGUUUUUCUUUUUAAUUUGUCAAGAGCGGGAAAAGCAUGAAGCUGAAGAAAUGGAGACAUAAAUUUGAAAUUGAUAGUCGUGCUCGUGGUCCAGACAGUCGUACGAGGAAUUCAGAAAUAGCAAUCUGCAAAAACACAUUGUGAACAAUGUUGCAAGGAAAGUCUUCCCAUUCGGGUCAUUGGCCCCAUGUCUCACAAUGGAAUUAAAAUAUAUAAACCAUUCUUAUAUUUUAUUUUUUUAA